CAUGAAUCUUAUCAAUAGGAUAUUGAAAACACUCAAAUUUUUACAGCAUGAGGCCAAAAUUAUUUUCACCCAAAUCUUAACAGUUUUUUACUUUCCCGCAUUUUGGUCCAUUUCACUUAUUAUUCCUGUUCUCCUGGGAUGAACAAGCCAAUCAUCAACAUGUUCGAAACCAGACGAGACGCAGUUCUUCUUCCAAACGUGUCCUUCCUUCUUCUCAAACAGUAUCACCACCUACUAAUAAGCGGUCCAAGGUGAGUGAGGCGUCGUAACGGAUGAAUGAUGUAUCUGCACGACCGCCGGCGCCGACGACUGAAACCACAAAUUCUGGUUAUGAAUCUCGAGACCCCGAGCUCCAAUCCCCUGAUCCUCAGAACGCUGAUUUUGCCAAGACCCUUGUCGCAAACAGACGGGAUGAUGUUGACAUGGAAGCCGAUGCCUUGGUGUCUCCUUUGACUCCAGGUGUGAUUUUGCUCUUGCAUGCUUUUUGUCUAUGAAAGAUGAU